rnacentral:rRNA from 1 species
GACGAACGCUGGCGGUGUGCUUAACACAUGCAAGUCGAACGGUAAGGCCCUUUCGGGGGUACACGAGUGGCGAACGGGUGAGUAACACGUGAGUAACCUGCCCUCAUCUCUGGGAUAACAGUCGGAAACGGUUGCUAAUACUGGAUAUGAGCUUGCAAGGCAUCUUGUGGGUUGGAGAGAUUUUUUUUGGUUGGGGAUGGACUCGCGGCCUAUCAGCUUGUUGGUGAGGUAGUGGCUCACCAAGGCUUCGACGGGUAGCCGGCCUGAGAGGGCGACCGGCCACAUUGGGACUGAGAUACGGCCCAAACUCCUACGGGAGGCAGCAGUGGGGAAUAUUGCACAAUGGACGGAAGUCUGAUGCAGCAACGCCGCGUGCGGGAUGACGGCCUUCGGGUUGUAAACCGCUUUCAAUUGUGACGAAGCUUUUUUGUGACGGUAGCAGUAGAAGAAGCACCGGCUAACUACGUG